CUGUACCACUCGGGGGCCAGGUACCCACGCGUGCCGCGGACACCGGUGAAGGUGCGUGUCUGGUCAGGUUGGAGCAGUUUGGCGAGCCCGAAGUCGGCGAUCUUGGCGGUGCCGUCCGCGUCUAUGAGGAUGUUCUGUGGCUUGACAUCGCAGUGGAUCACGCGACAGUCGAGCUCGUCGUGGAGGUACCGCAGGCCCCGGGCCACGUCGAGCGCGAUGCCAAGGCGGUCGGACCAUGGAGGCGUCAAGGCAGCACCCCUGAAGAGCAAGUCGGCCACCGAGCCAUUGCUCAUGAACUCAUACACCAGGAGGCGGUUGGCGCCCUGGUGGCAGAAGCCGAGGAGGCGGACCAGGUUGCGGUGGCUCGUCCGCCCAAUGGCGCGCACCUCUCUCUGGAACUCCCGUUCGCCGUCCUCCACGAGCUUCUCCAGUCGCUUCACGGCGAUAGCCUGCUCGCCGUUGCGCAGCGCGCCUUUGAACACCGUGCCAAACACGCCGCGGCCCACCGGGUCACGGAAGCAGUACGUGGCGCGCUCCAGCUCCCGGUAA
rnacentral:rRNA from 1 species